AGCAUUCACCUUAAUCUCGGUUCUAGUGAGUAUCAUCCACUAGAGGUAACGGGGAAAGUCCGGUGUAAGUCCGGCGCUGUCCCGCAGCUGUAAUCAAGGAAAAAAAGAAAAAUAUUAACCUUGUCAGUCAGAAUGCCCGCCGAUAAGUCAAAACAACC
rnacentral:ncRNA from 2 species